GAUGAAGAACGUAGCGAAAUGCGAUACGUAAUGUGAAUUGCAGAAUUCAGUGAAUCAUCGAAUCUUUGAACGCACAUUGCGCCCCUCGGUAUUCCGACGGGCAUGCCUGUCCGAGCGUCGUUUGCAACCCAUCGAGUAACACUUCUCGGUCUUGGGCGCCGUCCGCCCCCUCGGGGGAUCGGACGGGCCCCAAAGCCCUCGGCGGCCCCGGGUGCCCCGCCGGAGCGUCUUCGAAAGCAAUCGCUCCGGCGCGUCGCGCCCCGGGACCACGCCGGCACCGCGGCCCCCCCCCAAAGGGGUCGCACCCCCAACACCAAACGUCUGACCUCGGAUCAGGUAGGGCUACCCGCUGAACUUAAGCAUAUCAAUAAGCGGAGGA
rnacentral:misc_RNA from 1 species